CUCUGCCAAGGCCACUCUUUCCUCAGAAUGAACCACCUUCCACUUCUCUUCUUUUGCAGAGGAUAGCAGCAAGCUAAUGUGCCAAUUAGCUCAACAGGAAUAACACAGAUAAGACUUGCAGAGCAUCCUAGAAGAGCAAGGGAGAAGCCAGUGCGGAGAAAAGACACAGUGUGAUCGUGAUGAUGAUACAGUGGUGUGUCAUACUUCAAGCAGGAGGAGGAAAGAAAAGCCGUGUUACCCAUGGCCAGUAGAGACCUGACUGAAUUUGAGAGAAAGCAGCUAUGAAGUAAAAGGAUUAAUUUCUAAAUUCUAUUCAACUAUGUUAGGACAAGAGUUAAAACCUUUGACCAGAUUAAAAUCAGUUUGGGAGAUGGACUUACCAAAGGUCUUUAAUGAAGGAGAGUGGGGAAAAUCUGGUCUGUUCUGCUCCUGUGUUUUCUACUGCACGUUAACAGCGGCCACGAGUGACACACUCCAGACACAAAGGCAUUCUUAGCAGCACUUGUGACAAUGCCUUGGAGGCAGGGUGCAGCUGAGACUGGUUAAGAAAGAGCCAGCACAGUCUUUGGCAGAAGAAAUUGGCUGCAGUAUUGAAUGAAAAUGCAUAGCAUGGCUUGAUCUGUAAGGUUUAAAGAUGUGGUAGGCAAGUGCUGAGUAAUAGCAGAGCACAAGAAACAAAACAAUAACGACAAGGUGGGAGAGAAGGGAUGAACCAAGGGCACAAUGAUUUGGAAUAGGGCCACAUUUGCAGCUAGUUAUAUACAUACACCUACAUACACCUUUGAUUCAUUGCACAGAUUUUUCCUGAGAAAUGUCUGCAAGGACACAUUUUUGAAAUGCCUCACUCGCGAUGGCUAGAAGCCAAAAGCGAUUUGGGAGUGAGUGGUCUGGCCAUGCAAUUCGUUUCAGACAAUACCUGCUGAAUGGGACUUUUGACAGUGGAACUGGAAAGAGCCUGUGAAAAUGAUGAUUCAUUUGUAGAAAAUGCCAGUGUACCACUUCGUGGCAGUGUUUCUGAACCAUGUAACACCAGCUUCUUAAAGAGAUUGUGCAAUGUAAUGCUGUACAUUGAUGAGGAUUAUCCUCUACAAUGAAGUUAGCUUAAUGAAGCAGGUCUGCUCAGUCAGAUUAGAACAAAUACAAUGACCGCCUCCACCCCUAAGGGAGCU